rnacentral:rRNA from 1 species
UACGUAGGGGGGCAAGCGUUUGUCCGGAUUUAUUUGGGCGUAAAGAGCUCGUAGGCGGUGUGUCGCGUCGGCCGUGAAAACCUGCAGCUUAACUGUGGGCGUGCGGUCGAUACGGGCAUCACUGGAGUUUCGGGCAGGGGGAGACUGGAAUUCCUGGUGUAGCCGGUUGAAAAUGCGCAGAUUAUCAGGGAGGGAAACACCCG